rnacentral:rRNA from 1 species
CCUACGGGUGGCAGCAGUGGGGAAUAUUGCGCAAUGGGCGAAAGCCUGACGCAGCGACGCCGCGUGAGGGAUGAAGGUCUUCGGAUCGUAAACCUCUGUCAGCAGGGAAGAAGGGGCAGUGUGCUAAUCAGGAGUGAAUUGACGGUACCUGCAAAGGAAGCACCGGAUAACUCCGUGCCAGCAGCCGCGGUAAUACGGAGGGUGCGAGCGUUAAUCGGAAUUACUGGGCGUAAAGCGCUCGUAGGCGGUAUGUCAAGUCAAGGGUGAAAUCCCCGCGCUCAACGUGGGAACUGCAUUUGAAACUGGCAAGCUGGAGUGUGUGAGAGGAUAGUGGAAUUCCAGGUGUAGGGGUGAAAUGCGUAGAUAUCUGGAGGAACAUCAGUGGCGAAGGCGACUAUCUGGCACAUAACUGACGCUGAGGAGCGAAAGCGUGGGUAGCAAACAGGAUUAGAUACCCUAGUAGUC